rnacentral:rRNA from 1 species
AUGGCGAGGUACUGGUGGAGCAGCUCGGUCGAUCAAAAAUCUUUACACUGGAUCGACUGGCCUUCACUAGCUAAACCGAAGGUUGCUGGAGGGAUGGGGUUUCGUCACUUGGAGCUGUUUAAUUUAGCUCUACUUGGAAAGCAUGGCUGGAAUUUGAUUACGAACCCGGAAUCCCUUUGUGCUCGAGUUCUUAAGAGCAAGUAUUUCCCGAACAAUGGUUUCAUGGAGGCCACCAUCCCAAAGUGUGCCUCGACUACGUGGAGGGCGAUCAUUGCCGGCAGGAAAGCGCUGGGUGCGGGGCUUAUCAAACGAGUUGGAGAUGGCACCACGGUGUCCUUUUGGCAUGAUAGCUGGGUGCCCGCGCUGAUUUCCCGGAAGCCUUCUGUUCACAUAGGUAACACUGCUAUACAAACAGCUUCUGAACUCAUUGAUGUGGACAUAGGCAUGUGGAAAGUUGAUAUGGUGAGGGAACAUUUCAUUGCUCCUGAAGCAGAGGCCAUCCUUAAUAUCCCCCUGAGGAUUAGUGGUGGACCUGACUCGGUUGCAUGGACCGCUGAAAAGUAUGGUAACUACUCUGUUAAAUCCGCGUACCGCUCUCUAAUGACUCAGAACGAGCAUGCUGCUCUUCAGGAAGGGACAACUACAGAAUCUUCAGAGAAACAGAAGCAGUUGCGGAGUAGACUCUGGAAGCUGAAAGUUGUGCCAAGGGUGCGAGUGUUUUGA